UUGCAGCCAUAUCACGUUUAAACAGUGGUUCUCGUACGAUCACCGAAGUUUAGCACCGCCAAACCUGGUUAGUAUCUCGAUAGGUGACCUCUAGGGAAUACCAUGUGCUGUAA